CAGAUUUGGAGAACUUGCGUGGCAUUUUGGAGCUCGCAUUAACAGCUGUCUUGUCCACUUCCUCUGUCGGCUUGUGCACUGCCUUGGGAAAGUAACCCAUCCAUCUCAGGGAUCUUGGGGGAUGUGCGACGGAGCGAACAACAACAAAAAAAAAAAUGAAGAAAAAUUGCGGCAUGUCAGUUGAAGGCACAACAACAAUAAAAAGGACCAAACAGACAACAUGAAGACAUUGCCGGAGCAGGGAACACGCGCCAAAAGCAUUCAACAACAACAUUAACAACAGGAGGAGCAGCAGCAGCAGCAGCAGGAGCGGAAGCAGGAGCCGCCAGGACGAAAAUUUUUGGCCAAGUCGCCCGCACAAUGAGCAAAUCCCAAAAAUGAGACCAAAAAACUUAAUUUAACUUUACGUUAACAAUGAACAACAAUUUGGCAAGCAGAUGUUCUCGCUGCAUCAUAUUGGCAAAGCGGCUGAGUGGAUACACAGAACGCUAGCGCAUUAUGCACUCCAGGUGAAUGCAUAAUACUUCUUUCGUUAUAUCUCUGGGGAGCAGAAGGCUAGAUAUCUUUGACGUAUAAUUAAAGAGAACCACAACAGGCUGCUUGCUGUGAUACAAGGCGAUUUUUAGAUUCUGUUGUGAAGCCUGACGACUGUUUCCUCCUUCUUGCCCGUCUGCCAUAGCCAAGGGGCUCGAGGGUAUUGGCAGCUUCCGGCGUAGAUGAGGCCUAGGACUGUGGACUAGGUUAAUUAGCCUGUGCGGACGAGUCGGCUGCUCCAGCUUCACAAAAUGACAAAUUAAGGACUUAAAUGAGCUCUAAGGACCUCCAUGACUGACAAAGCAAUUUUAUCCAGGAUCGGACUUUAAUUAAGCCAGAUAUGGCGAACAGAAAUGCCCAGAAGAUCGACAGCAAAUAUUUUUGCGGCCGAAAAAUGACGUAGCACAAAGGGGCAUCAUCGUCGCCGGGCCAAAUUUGCACCUAAAUUCCACUCAAAUACCAGGCGAACAGAAAUGCACAGAAGGUCGACGAGUGCUUCGAAUAAAAAAUUUCAUUGCAUAGCCUUAAGGGGCAAAAAUGUAACUCAUUUAAAAUGAGUCAUGUUAAGUAGCAGUUCAUGUAAAAGGAGUGCUGUAAGGCGGCUGUAAAACAGCAGCUAAUGAAAACGGGUGGCUGAAAGAAAAAGCAUACAUGUUUUUGGAUCAUUUCAAUGCACAUUUUGCAGGGAUAUGAUCCUUUAGGUUCUCAAGGACUAUAUCGAUGGCAUGGUAUAACCAAGGGUAUGAUAGUCAACCAGGAACUAUCCAGGAAGCGGGCUGUUGCUAGGGGAAGCUGUAAAAUGAAAGCAUACAUAUUUUUUGACCAUGUGCUUGCGCAUUUUUCAAGAACUUGGUCCUUUAGGUUCGCUAGGACUAUAUCCAUGGUAUGGAAUAACCAACGAUAUAUAGGUCAACUAGGUACCAACAUUGUGAAUCUCUGCUGGUGGUAAACAAAUGAUUGAAUACAAAUUCUUAAAUGCUUUUCCAUGGAAAUAACUCCGCGAUGAUUUUGUUCGAUCUCUUUAAUUAUGCCGCUUUAAAACGAUGUACAAACGUACAUCCGCUGAUGUACAAACGACAUUAUUAUUUGUUGAUCAUUUUUGUCCAUGGGCGUGUGUCCCAACGAAACUGAAUAUUUUACUGUACAUGUGCGUGGCAGAUUUGGCUGAAAGAUAGAAUAAAAAAUGAUUGGGUUUUGGUAAACUAAAA